GUCAAACUUUUGUAUCGAGAAACAGGUAGCAGAUAAACACACCAGCAGCAUUACAAGUGGUGAAAUACAGAAAUAAAUACCCCUACCCGUGUGUAGUAAUAGUAAAACACUGCUGCUAAACAGGGAUUAGAGACCCCUUUAUACAAGUGCUCACUUUAUUCUGCGGAGUACUACAACUUUCCGAGUUAAAACUUAAGCAACAUGGCGGUAACUUCAACUUAGGGGAACUUACCUGGUAAAUGACAACCACCAAGGUCAACCAACUGUGGAAAAAUCUUGUAUGCCGUCGUCGUCAGGUGGCACUUGAUGUUCCACCACGAGAGCUAACUUAAAAGACAGAUCAAGGUGCAGACGAUUCUACAGACACGGCGAGUUACAAUUUUGAUUAUUAACGGAUAAACUAUGUGAUUAAUAUGUGAAGACGGACUUAAUAGUAAUAAAAACUACCAUUAUUUUAUGAAACUCUUUGAAGUUGUGCACAA
rnacentral:rRNA from 1 species